rnacentral:rRNA from 1 species
UACAGAGGGUGCAAGCGUUGUUCGGAAUUAUUGGGCGUAAAGGGAGUGUAAGCGGUUCUUUAAGUCUUCUGUGAAAUCUACGGGCUUAGCCUGUAACGUGCAGAGGAAACUGGGGAACUUGAGUGUCGGAGAGGAUAGGGGAAUACCCGGUGUAGAGGUGAAAUUCGUAGAGAUCGGGUGGAACACCAGUGGCGAAGGCGCCUGUCUGGCUGACAACUGACGCUGAGACUCGAAAGCAUGGGGAGCAAACAGG